GGCAGUUCUCAGGUGAUGCACCCUGGAAUUGGGCUCCCUCCUCUCUGGUUCCAGGGUGUGUCACCCGAGAACCGCU
rfam:Myotis lucifugus cont2.1900, whole genome shotgun sequence.